AUUUAGUGAUUUUUGACUUACUAUAUAUUUCACAUUUAUCAAAAUCACUAUUCAGUAUGAAAAUUAUUCUAAACUACUCAUCAAGCUAACAUAUCUAUUGUUAAUAUGACACAAACGAGCAUGUCAAAAAUUCACAAAAGAAAAUAUGUAAGCAGAAGUAGAUGAUGCUUUAUUCUCAAUAUUUAGUUUAAACAUUCCAUCGCAUACAUAACCUUUAUCUACAAACUUUCCAUUCUUGAAAAUCACAUACUAAUCAUACUCGAU
rnacentral:lncRNA from 1 species